AACGGUGUCUUCGGACACAGUGGCGGACGGGUGAGUAACGCGUGAGAAUCUGGCUUUAGGUCUGGGACAACCACUGGAAACGGUGGCUAAUACCGGAUGUGCCGAAAGGUGAAAGGUUAACUGCCUGAAGAUGAGCUCGCGUCUGAUUAGCUAGUUGGUGUGGUAAGAGCGCACCAAGGCGACGAUCAGUAGCUGGUCUGAGAGGACGAUCAGCCACACUGGGACUGAGACACGGCCCAGACUCCUACGGGAGGCAGCAGUGGGGAAUUUUCCGCAAUGGGCGAAAGCCUGACGGAGCAAUACCGCGUGAGGGAGGAAGGCUCUUGGGUCGUAAACCUCUUUUCUCAGGGAAGAACACAAUGACGGUACCUGAGGAAUAAGCAUCGGCUAACUCCGUGCCAGCAGCCGCGGUAAUACGGAGGAUGCAAGCGCUAUCCGGAAUGAUUGGGCGUAAAGCGUCCGCAGGUGGCUAUGUAAGUCUGCUGUUAAAGAGUCUAGCUCAACUAGAUAAGAGCAGUGGAAACUACACGGCUAGAGUACGUUCG
rnacentral:rRNA from 1 species